rnacentral:rRNA from 1 species
CCAGACUCCUACGGGAGGCAGCAGUGGGGAAUAUUGGGCAAUGGGCGCAAGCCUGACCCAGCAACGCCGCGUGAAGGAAGAAGGCUUUCGGGUUGUAAACUUCUUUUGACAGGGAAGAGCAGAAGACGGUACCCGUCGAAUAAGCCACGGCUAACUACGUGCCAGCAGCCGCGGUAAUACGUAGGUGGCAAGCGUUGUCCGGAUUUACCGGGUGUAAAGGGCGUGUAGCCGGGCUGACAAGUCAGAUGUGAAAUCCGGGGGCUCAACCCCCGAACUGCAUUUGAAACUGUUGGUCUUGAGUAUCGGAGAGGCAGGCGGAAUUCCUAGUGUAGCGGUGAAAUGCGUAGAUAUUAGGAGGAACACCAGUGGCGAAGGCGGCCUGCUGGACGACAACUGACGGUGAGGCGCGAAAGCGUGGGGAGCAAACAGGAUUAGAUACCCGGGUACU